GCACGCCUGAUAAGCGUGAGGUCCCCAGUUCAAGUCUGGGCAUUCGCACCA
rnacentral:tRNA from 1 species